rnacentral:rRNA from 1 species
UACGGCGGGUGCGAGCGUUACCCGGAUUUACUGGGCGUAAAGGGCGUGUAGGCGGUUUUCUAAGUCCGGGGCUAAAGACCAUGGUUCAACCAUGGGUUUGCCUUGGAUACUGGAAAGCUCGACGGCUGGAGGGGGCAGCGGAAUUUCCGGAGUAGCGGUGAAAUGCGCAGAUACCGGAAGGAACGCCAAUAGCGAAGGCAGCUGCCUGGACAGUACGUGACGCUGAGGCGCGAAAGCGUGGGGAGCAAACCGG